rnacentral:rRNA from 1 species
UACGAAGGAUCCAAGCGUUAUCCGGAUUUAUUGGGUUUAAAGGGUGCGUAGGCGGGCUAUUAAGUCAGUGGUGAAAGCCUGCAGCUUAACUGCAGAACUGCCAUUGAUACUGAUGGUCUUGAGUACACUUGAGGUGGGCGGAAUGUGUCGUGUAGCGGUGAAAUGCGCAGAUAUCAGGAAGAACACCCGUGGCUAAGGCGGCUCUCUAGUACGGUACUGACGCUGAGACGCGAAAGCGUGGGGAGCGAACAGG